UCCAUGUUCCAACAAGCUGCCCAGGUUAUUCUGAUCCAUGCCUUGGUUUAGCCCCUUAUUGAAAUCUUUUAUUUUAUAAUUGAGAAGAGUAAGACCCAGAGACAUUGGCAAAAGUUUCCCAGGGCCACCCAUGUGGUGAGCCGCGGAGUCCGGGCUCUGCUCCGGGCCUCCCAAUCGGCCUUCAGAGGACCAUACAAAAGCCAUGCUCUCCUGUCUCAGGUUUCACUUUGAAACCCUUUUGUUUAGAAAAGAGGAAUCUCUCCUCUCUUGGCAGGCUGCCUUCUCCUCCACCACAAAUAAUUCUUUCUUUCAAACAAAGCUAAGCUUUUCUAAAGCUUGAAAAUCCAUCCUAAUCACCGUGCAGUUUCCCUCUUGUAAAUCCUGCGAGGAGCUUAUGCCAUCUUCCCCUGGCCGAGCUGCAGAGAAGGGGCCUUGUCUCACACCUCAUCACCGCUGGAACCCAGUUGAUGGGAAUAAACAUCAGCCUGUUGGAUAGAAAAGACAGACUGCAAGGACAUCAUUGAUGCCAUUCUGUGGACUGGCCAGGUGAACUCUGGACCCAUACAGCAGGCCAUCAGGCAUGGCAUGAAGCUAGGAGCCACCAACUUACCAGUAUCCCCUCACUGAUGGCUCCAGCCACACUGGCCUCUGGAAUGUUCCUCAGACCUACACUGCUGUCUGCUCCAUCUGGAAUCCACUCCCUGCAUACAUCUGUAUGGCUCUCCAUCUCCUGCAGGCCUCUUCCCAAGGCCAUCUAAUCAGAGAAUGUGCCUGCCUAACCUAAUUAAGCCAGCACCCACAUCACUUCCUCUCCUUUUAUCCUGCUUUAUUUCAGCUCUUGACAUUUAUUAAGCUCUAACACACACACACACACACACACUUUUUUUUUUAAAUUUAUUUAUCUUAACUAUCCCCCAUCACUGAGACAUAUGGUAAAAGAAGUAAGGUCUUGGUUUCUGUGUGCUGCUGUGUUCUCAGUGCCAAGAAAAAUGAUGAACAUGUAGUAGACAGGUGAUUGAGUAAAUUUUAGCUAUUCUUGGACCUUUUGGGAAAAUGGGGUCAAUAGAAACCACUUAGCAAUAUUUGAUGCAGUUAAUUUCCUGGGAAAAUUCAUGAAGAAUUACAGGCAUAAAGAUUUUACAUGAAAAAUGGUCCUAAUUGUUGUGCUAGUAAUUGGAGAAGAGCUCCGGGGGAGACCUGGUGUUGCUGGAUGUCAACUCUGACUUAUAAAGCAAUAAACUCUGUAUGUGAAGUUG